CAUCGCUCCCAUAGUCAGGGGCAGAGGCUCCCUCAGGCCCAGAAAAGAGGGUCGGCAUUCUGGUCCUUUGCUAGGCUGCUGCUCUGAGAACUGGGGUCUGCUCCUCUUGCUCCUUCAGGUCUGGCCUCAAGAGGAGCACUUUGCUCCGGAGCUCUCUGGUAUGGCUGAGGCAACAGAAGACGUUGGCAGAGUGGGCAGAGGACCACUGCCUUCAAGACCACACUGGCCAGUGUCAGGCUGGUGUGGGCUUGAGAACACUGAAGUGUGGGUGACUGCAGAGUCGAGUCAAAAUGAUGCCGAUGAUCCAUGGGAACCAGGAAUGGAGCUGGAAGGAGGUGUGGAGGCUUUCUACUGUGGUGCGAGCUGGGGGAACAGAGUGGCAGACACUUCUCAAUCUAAAGCCCAAGACUCUUCAAGCCCGUGUUGUCCACCAUGCCUUCCCUAGAAGCUGGACAAGGCAAGAACCACAAACAAGAGUGACUUCUUCCUUAGGGUUUCCUGAGGGGAAAUCUUUGAAUUUAGCCCAGAGGGACCCAUUUCAGGCUUCGGAGCCUCCUACCUGCAAGAUGAUGUAUGUAACAAGUGAAUUUAGUUAUAAAAUGAUACACUGUCUGAGGUAGUUUAUAACACCAGCAGGAGAAAACUUA